rnacentral:rRNA from 1 species
AUUGAACGCUGGCGGUAGGCCUAACACAUGCAAGUCGAACGGCAGAAGGGUAAUUGCUUCUGCUUACAGGGGCGGACGGGCGGGUGAUGCAUGGAAACCUGCCUAGCUGCGGGUGAUAACGUCCGGACGCGGGGGCUCAUACCGUAUUAGUCCAGAGGGCGUACGGGGGGGAUCUUCGGAUCUUCCGCUCUCACACGAGCCUAUGUCGGAUUAGCUAGUUGGCGGGGUAAAGGCCUACCAAGGCGACGAUCCGUAGCUGGUCUGAGAGGAUGAUCAGUCACACUGGAACUGAGACACGGUCCAGACUCCUACGGGAGGCAGCAGUGGGGAAUAUUGGACAAUGGGCGCAAGCCUGAUCCAGCCAUACCGCGUGGGUGAAGAAGGUCUUCGGAUUGUAAAGCACUUUUGUUGGGGAAGAAAAGCAGUAAGUUAAUACCUUGCUGUUUUGACGGUACCAACAGAAUAAGCACCGGCUAACUUCGUG